GUUCGCGCGGCGGGGCUCUGCGCUCCCGGCUGGCUGAGUCCUGUGGAUGCUCUACAGGCUGGGUGAGGGCAGCGUCCGUUGUGGUAUCUUUGCCGAGCCGUGAGCCUCCAGUAUUGGCUCCGUCUCCCUGAGACUCGUUGUCCCGACUAUGGGAUGGGCUGCCUGUCACGGAGAUAUCCGCCCAGGCCGCGCGCUCUCCCGGGCCUCCUCACCCUGUCCUCGUCCCCGCUGCCCCGGCUAGCGGCACCCAGGGCCCUGUAGGCAUUUUACGCAGGGAGGGGUGAGGAUUGAGGCCCACACUGCCACGGUCAGCCUGAGGUCAUCCAUCCUUUGGCAGGGCUGGGGUCGGGUCUGCCGACCCGCGGGACCCACCGGGGUAUCCGCCUUUCAGUGUGCAGCUCCGCCCCCAGGGUCCCGAGGCGUUGGCGGUGAUGACAGACCGGCUCAGUCAUCAACCCCUAGGAUCAGU
rnacentral:lncRNA from 1 species